CAUUUAGGUCACUCUGCAUGUUAGCGAAGUUGAAAACCAAGCCAGUAAGCAGUGAGUGAUUUGAUGAAGCAGUGCUUCAGGUGUCUGCCUCUUUGAGUUCGCUGAAAAGUUGGAUCUUACAUAUUUAGCACCUGAAACAACCGAAGGCUUACGGAGGACACUGACAGACUGGGGCGAGGAGGGUCUCUGCCUCCCCUGAAGACCUGGACCACCCUCCACACCUGGCGGGAGCAGAUUCGGGCAAUUACAAUCAAGUCAGGGCACACGCCGCGGCGGAGCAACACGAGCAUGAUGAGGAUACUGAUGAGGCACUUAUCGAAAACCCCACAUCAUCCACACUCAUCAGCCACAACAUGUCACCCCAAAUGAGGCAUCAGCUGCCUUCAAAAGGCUCAUUGCACAGUGUUUACCGCUUCCCUCGGACCCACUUUUGAUUUUACGACAUGUUGAACUGCAAGAUUCCACUCGCGACGCCAGAAUUCGUCAAGAGGCCUGCAUUGUUGUUUCGCACUGAGGCAUAGGACCGGCUACAGGCCAUUGUUUCUCCAGCUCAAGUGGGCCUGUCUGGUUCGUGUUGGAAGAAUGAGGGUGACAUGCGUGAGUUCCCGAGUAUAAAAGAACUACUGGUUCUAGGAAGGAACAGGAGGUUAGCCACUAAUGCAGAGUAAAUAAACAUUUUUCACCACCUCUU
rnacentral:lncRNA from 1 species